AUGAUUGACGCUGAGGCACGUUAGCUUGGGGAGCGAACAGGAUUAGAUACCCUGGUAGUCCAUCGCUGUAAACUAUGAUCACUGGUUGUUGGCAAUAUACCGUCAGCGACUGAGCGAAAGCAUUAAGUGAUCCACCUGGGGAGUACGUCGGCAACGAUGAAACUCAAAGGAAUUGACGGGGGCCCGCACAAGCGGAGGAACAUGUGGUUUAAUUCGAUGAUAUGCGAGGAACCUUACCUGGGCUUAAAUGUAGAGUGCAUAGAGUGGAAACAUUCUUUUCCUUCGGGACUCUUUACAAGGUGCUGCAUGGUUGUCGUCAGCUCGUGCCGUGAGGUGUCGGGUUAAGUCCCAUAACGAGCGCAACCCUUGUCGUUAGUUGCUAGCAGGUCAAGCUGAGGACUCUAACGAGACUGCCGGUGUAAACCGAGAGGAAGGUGGGGAUGACGUCAAAUCAGCACGGCCCUUAUGUCCAGGGCUACACACGUGUUACAAUGGCCAGUACAAGGAGCAGCCACCUGGCAACAGGGCGCUAAUCUCAAAAGCUGGUCACAGUUCGGAUCGGAGUCUGCAACUCGACUUCGUGAAGGUGGAUUCGCUAGUAAUCGCGCAUCAGCCACGGCGCGGUGAUACGUUCCCGGGCCUUGUACACACCGCCCGUCAAGCCAUGGUAGCUGGGGGUACCUGAAGUCCGUAACC
rnacentral:rRNA from 1 species